CUUCCUUCCUCCUAUUUUCCAUCCAGAGGAAUCUUCUGCGUCCUAACAGUGGUGUCCUUUUUCUGGGAUGCGCAGGGUUGAUUAAACGCUGUGAGUGAAAAGUGGUUCCUAUAUAUGUUGACUACACACAUUUCGGCCCCUGAUGAAGGGUAAUCCGAAACGCGUAGGGCCGUGUACGUCUUCAUGGACGUUACUUUUCAAUGACACCCAUCCAUGUACUGUUUUUAAACAAUUUAUAUGUAUAAUUUUCAUUUUGUAUAAUUUCUACUUUGUAUAUUAAAAUACUUCAUUUUUUGACUA